CAGUUUUCCCCCAGAUCCUGCUGAUUCUACAAACUUUGAGUUCCUUAGUUGUGAAGAAAGUCUACAGUCUGCAAACUCAGUCUGUGGAAAGAAGUAUACAGCAAGCUAAGAUGUGAAGAUCAGGGAAAGCAGCUGCAGAAAGAAGUACGGUUUUUUUGCCACCAUAUAAGCUCUGAUCAACAAUAACUUGGUUUUCCUUCAUCAU